UUUUUUUCUAUGAUAGAUUUAUUAAAUGGCCGCGAUAAUUUGAUCGUGCAAAGGUAGCAUAAUAAUUAGUUUUUUAAUUAAGAACUGGUAUGAAAGGUUGGACGAGAAAAGGACUGUCUCAAUUUAAUUUUAGAUUAGAAUUUUAUUUUUAAGUAAAAAAGCUUAAAUUAAUUUAAAAGACGAGAAGACCCUAUAGAGUUUUAUAUUUAUUAAUAUUAUUUAUAAUUUAAAGAAUUAAAAUUAGAAAUUGAUUAGUAAAUAUUUGGUUGGGGUGAUUGAAAAAUAAAAUUAACUUUUUUUUAUUAUUUAACAUUAAUUAAUGAUUAAUUGAUCCAUAAAUUUAUGAUUAAAAGAUUAAAUUACCUUAGGGAUAACAGCGUAAUUUUUUUUAAGAGUUCUUAUCGAAAAAAAAGUUUGCGACCUCGA
rnacentral:rRNA from 1 species